rnacentral:rRNA from 1 species
UACGUAGGGGGCUAGCGUUGUCCGGAAUCAUUGGGCGUAAAGAGCGUGUAGGCGGCCCGGUAAGUCCGCUGUGAAAGUCAAAGGCUCAACCUUUGAAUGUCAGCGGAUACUGCCGGGCUAGAGUCCGGAAGAGGCGAGUGGAACUCCUGGUGUAGCGGGUGGAAUGCGCAGAUAUCAGGAAGAACACCAACGGCGAAGGCAGCUCGCUGGGACGGUAUUGACGCUGAGACGCGAAAGCGUGGGGGAGCAAACAGG